CGCUGUCCUGUAAACAGGAAAAAGAACACCGACCCCAGGGGAGGCUAAGUACCAUUUGAGACUGUGGGGAAGGCAGCCUGAGGUUGAAACCAAAGCACAGAGAAGAGCAGAGCGUCCAGAAAUGCGGAGAACCGGCACCAAGGUCCUGACCAAACUCUGGACUUUUCAGUUGUGUGAGCAUUUGAGAACCACUGGGCUAGAGGAAAAAUCUGAAACUACUGACUGAGGAGCGAAAGAGCCUGGUGAUCCAAGAGCAGGACUGAAGUCCAAGUGAAGAUGAAGGUGAAUCAUGCAUCCCAGAUGUGCUGGGAGCGGCCAUGGAAGCGACGGCCGUGGAAGGGGUAGAGUGCUACGGAUUCAGCAACGAACUCUCCAGAACUGACAUCUCCUUCAACCGGUGUCCGUCUGUUCAACCUGAUGUCCCUAGUCUCCUGGUCAGUGCCAGCAGGGUGCAUUUCGGCUGCAAUCUCAUUGAGGGCUCUAAACGUUUUUAAAUGCCCUCUUCUCUCACGGAAGUUGGGUAUUUAUUCUUUCCUAUUGCCAACCCUAAGAUGUCAUGCUUACUUUCUCUCAAGUUUCUUUACAUUUCUGAAUUUCUAGAUUUCCUUUUUGGCAGAAUUUAGCCCAGAAUAACAGGGUUCCUUGUGAGCCUGUGAGUAACCCAAGCAAAGAAUUUAUCAAGCCUCUCUGAUAUGCCCGGGCAAAAGCUGUGGCAUAGCUCAGGAAAGACAGGUGCAAUAAUAAAGAUGUUGAUAAAAUUCUUUGGAACUGUCCCACUAGGCUUGCUUCUGAUUCUGGAAGGCUCCGUCCCUCUGUGCUUGACUCACCCUCACUUCAGAACAAGGAAGCACCCUGGUCAUUAUGAACUUUCACCACUGACCACGAAAUUCCAGCCAUGGCUCCUGAGAUGCCUACCCAGCUACUGUCUGUGCUCAGCCCCCCAUGGCUAGUCCGUUUCAGAAUGUUCUCACAUCCCCUCGCUCCACAAUGGCUCUGUCCAAGCAGAAAGGGAAUUGAUGCAAGGCCCCACUAGAAUCUUUGAGGAAAACUGGACUUGCGCCUUUAUUUUCAUAAUUAGCACAGACACCACUUUGUGUGCCUCAAUUUACCUCUACGUCCCAUUCCUAUGGGAUAUGAAAACUCAUUUAAAUAUGGUACUGGUAUACACUGACAAGUAUCAGAUGACGUUAAUAAAUCUCUACCUCUCCUUU